rnacentral:rRNA from 1 species
GACGAACGCUGGCGGCGUGCUUAACACAUGCAAGUCGAACGGAAAGGCCGUGCUUUGGUGGGGUGCUCGAGUGGCGAACGGGUGAGUAACACGUGAGUAACCUGCCCUUGACUUUGGGAUAACUUCAGGAAACUGGGGCUAAUACCGGAUAGGAGCUCCUGCUGCUGGGUGGGGGUUGGAAAGUUUCGGCGGUUGGUGAUGGACUCGCGGCUUAUCAGCUUGUUGGUGGGGUAGUGGCUGACCAAGGCUUGGCCGGGUAGCAGGCCUGAGAGGGUGAGCGGCCAAACUGGGACUGAGAUAAGACACAGACCCGUAUCGGACGGAAGAGUGGGGAAUAGUGCACAAUGGGAGGAAGCAUGAUGCAGCACCGCAGCGCGGGGGAUGACGGGCAUCGGGUUGUAAAGCGAAUUCGCCUGUGACGAAGCGUGAGUGACGGUAAUGGGUAAAGAAGCACCGGCUAACUACGUG